AGUAACGGCGCUCUCGAUCUCCCUUUUCUCUCCUUCGUCUCCUCCGUGUAAAGAAGCUCUCCGACAACGCCGUUCUUCCCUCUCUGGCUUCUCCUCUCUCCGCCAGUUACCAUUUCUCUGAUCUAGGUACCUCUCCCUCUCAAGUUAUUGAUUUGUUUCUCUGCAGCUCCCUCUCAAAUUCUUUAGAGAAGGCGAAAUCGAAACUGAAAUUUUUGGUUUCUUCGAUCAAGGCAUGAGUCAGUCAUAGAUCUCUACACUGCACACCCAGUUUCCUUUCUCCAUUUCUCUCAUCCUUCACCUCCAUGCAACCUAACUCAGUCCAGAUCCACUAGUGCAACUUUUCUUCUUCUUCUUCUUUUCGUUUGAAUUUUGAAUUUUUUGCGCAGUUUUUGCAAUCGUCGUCGUUUUCACCGAUAUCUUGUGUCGGUUAAUCAUUGUCAUUUUUUAAAAUUCCUAAUUCCUAAUUAUUGUAAUUUAAAAUCCCUAAUUAUUUGAAGUUUCGUCAAAUCCUGAUUUUCCAAUUUCCAUGCUAGUUAUUUAUUCACAACAAUUAAUAAUUAUUAAUUAAUUAAUUAUUGUCACUGUUUGACCUCUCUUUUUUGUUUGUUUGUAGAAAAUCAAAAACAUGGUACCAGAGAGGCCGUGAAAGCUAGAUAGUCAGAUCGCUCAUGUCACUGUUUGACCUCUCUUUUUUGGGGAUUUUUGUUUCUCUGCAGCUCCGCAAUCAGGUCUUGUGUUGAAGCAUUCUAUUGACGUUUGAUAGGU
rnacentral:lncRNA from 1 species